rnacentral:misc_RNA from 1 species
GCUGGCUUCUUCCCCAGCCGCUCCUUCUCAUCUCUCCCUCUACGGUCGAGCUCCCAGCCUGCACUUCGGUUCUCUGCGUGUGGCUUCGCUCCUGGAGCAAAAAUCCGCCGCCCCUGCGCAGAUUUUUCCAGCGUCUAUAUCUCUGUGCGCAGGUCCAAGCCACCGUUCAGCUCGAGAGAAAAAUCCUACCGUGCUCGAUUCUUCCCUGCGCGUCUCCUCCGCUUGGAGCUUCCUGCGCUCCCUGCGUCCCUCUGUGGCCGGAACUCCCUUCAUGGCCGGAGCUCGGACGGCGCUCGGUCCUGCCGCCUGCCCCAACGUCGACUAUCUCCAGCUCGCCCCCGACCCUUCUCUCCCUGUCGCGUCGCUCUCUCUCUGCUCGCUCUCCUCCAUGGCCGCCGUGGGCUCGCCGGCGU